UAGCCGUAAACGAUACUCGCUAGGUGUCGGCCACGGUGCGACCGUUGUCGGUGCCGUAGGGAAGCCGUGAAGCGAGCCACCUGGGAAGUACGGCCGCAAGGCUGAAACUUAAAGGAAUUGGCGGGGGAGCACAACAACGGGUGGAGCUUGCGGUUUAAUUGGAUUCAACGCCGGAAAUCUUACCGGGACCGACAGCAACAUGGAGGCCAAGCUGAAGACUUUGCCGGAUUAGCUGAGAGGUGGUGCAUGGCGUAGUCGUGU
rnacentral:rRNA from 1 species